rnacentral:lncRNA from 1 species
CGCCCCGACGGGGCAGUACAUGGGAAAAAAUAAACGGAUUCGGAGGGAACGGGGUAAAUUUUACGAUCCGAGACGGAUUCGGUUUGACCCGUCCCGAAUCCGCACCGUUAUAAUCCGCUCCGAAUCCGCCCCGAAAAUUAUUUAUAUUUUUAAAAAAUAUUUCUACAAAAUAAUAUAUUUACAAAAAGUUCAAAAUACAAAUAAGUUAGUACUCUCAUUUUUAAUGUAUUUGAAAAUUUUAAAUUUUGUUUUGAAUUGUGAUUGAUAUUUUUUAUUUUUAUAAUUGAUAUUGUUAAAUUAUAUAUAUAAUAUUAAUUUAUAUUUUACAAAAUAUUAAUAAUAUUAUAAUUUUAUAAAAAAUAUUAGUUUGCGGGACGGAUUCGGGGCUCCGGCGGGGGGCGGGUUACGAGGUGGGGCGGAUUAUGGGAUGUAUUUUUUAACCCGUCACGGGUUCGGGACGGGAUUUUGCUAGUCGGGGCGGGAGGCGGGGCAGGGCUCCCGCCUCCAGAUCUGCCCCGUUUGCAUCCCUACGUAUGAUCAAUCUAUAGCUUAUAAAGCAGACCCUCGACCCAAAUUAGUCUUAACAUUCGUGCUCACCUGUAGUGAGCGCAUGCUGAGUAUGAAUCAUGCAAUAAACAUAUAGACGAAAUAUUAGAUAAGAAACACACCGUCACAUGGUGGUUGUGGAAAUUGAACUUAGAAUUAUUUGGAACAGAGAUCGAGCUGAUACGAAUUGAUCUGUUCAAGAUUAGACCCCCAUAAGUUAAAAGAACUCUACAAAGCCAUUUGAUUUUGAUGUACAACUUGUGCUUAAGACCACUGACCGUCCCUAGAGCAAGUGACAAAGGGUUUGGUGGUUGGUAUCCGAGACCCUAGUUCGAAUCCUAAUUGAUUCACAUUUCUAACUAAGUUUGUUUUUAAAUAAAAUAAACGAAACGGAUAGCGUGUUAUCUAUCUCUCAAAGCAAAAAAAACUUGUGCUUAAGACCAUUGUGACAUUAGUAGGCAUGAUUGGGCCUCUUUAAAUAUACUAAUAUCUGGCAAUUUGUUACAUAAACUUUAUGGUAUCCUGAACUAAUCAUAAAAACGAAUAAACGAAGUAGGUAACAUGCUAUUUUUUUCUCUUAAAAG